AGUGAACGCUGGCGGUAGGCCUAACACAUGCAAGUCGAACGGCAGCACAGUAAGAUCUUGCUCUUACGGGUGGCGAGUGGCGGACGGGUGAGGAAUACAGCGGAAUCUACUUUUUCGUGGGGGAUAACGUAGGGAAACUUACGCUAAUACCUCAUACGACUUACGGGUGAAAGCAGGGGAUCUUCGUACCUUGCGCGAUUUAAUGAGCCGAUGUCGGUUUAGCUAGUUGGCGGGGUAAAGGCCCACCAAGGCGACGAUACGUAGCUGGUCUGAGAGGAUGAGGGGACACAGUGGGACUGAGACACGGCCCAGACGCGUACGGGAGGAAGCAGGAGGGAAGCUUAGGAAAUGGACGAAAGGAUGAACGAGCAACGCAGCGGGAGAGAAGAAGGUUGUCGGAUCGUAAAACGCUGUUGGUAGAGAAGAACGUUGGUGAGAGUGGAAAGCUCAUCAAGUGACGGUAACGAACCAGAAAGGGACGGCUAACUACGUG
rnacentral:rRNA from 1 species